rnacentral:rRNA from 1 species
UAGGGAAUAUUAGUAAUGGGCGAAAGCCUGAACUAGCAACGCCGCGUGUGCGAAGAAGGCCUUCGGGUUGUGAAGCACUUUUUGAGAGGAUGAGGAAGGACGGUACUCUCAGAAUAAGUCUCGGCUAACUACGUGCCAGCAGCCGUGGUAACACGUAGGAGGCGAACGUUAUCCGGAUUUACUGGGCGUAAAGCGCGUGUAGGUGGUUUGGUAAGUAGGGCGUGAAAGCUCCUGGCUCAACUGGGAGAGGCCGUUCUAAACUGCCGAACUAGAGGAUGGUAGAGGGAGGUGGAAUUCGGGGUGUAGCGGUGGAAUGCGCAGAUAUCCGGAGGAACACCAGUGGCGAAAGCGGCCUCCUGGACCACUCCUGACACUCAGACGCGAAAGCUAGGGUAGCAAACGG